rnacentral:rRNA from 1 species
AAGCAUCAGGUAACAUCAAAUCGUACCCCAAACCGACACAGGUGGUCAGGUAGAGAAUACCAAGGCGCUUGAGAGAACUCGGGUGAAGGAACUAGGCAAAAUGGUGCCGUAACUUCGGGAGAAGGCACGCUGGUGUGUAGGUGAAGCCCCUGCGGGUGGAGCUGAGACCAGUCGAAGAUACCAGCUGGCUGCAACUGUUUAUUAAAAACACAGCACUGUGCAAACACGAAAGUGGACGUAUACGGUGUGACGCCUGCCCGGUGCCGGAAGGUUAAUUGAUGGGGUUAUCCGUAAGGAGAAGC